CCAAUAUUAAAUCUGUUUUUUUUUUCUCGGUAUUAAAGUGGUUUAAAAUGUUGCAGUUUUCGGUUUAAUGAUUUUAUAUAUUCCAAUGCUGAUUCAAAUAAGACUGUAGAUAGCACCCCGCAUUUGGGUCAGCCCAACAAGCCCCACAUUUGGAAAGUUUAUGAGAAGAGGCCCAAGCCACGUGUAGGAAAAUAGUGGAAAUAAGUUUGUUAGAAUAUUCUUAUUUAGUGGAGAGUAUGAUAGGAUAUGACAUGUUUUUAUUUUUCAGAAAGAUCCUUGGAAUGGCCUUGAGGCUUGGGCAGUGAGACAUCAUUGUUGGUUCUCAUCUAUUAUCUUUGAACAUUCAUUAAGAAAUUGACAAUCAUUAUUUAUAUCAUUUGGUUCCAUUGCCCUACUUGCAUACAAUGGUGCAACCAGAACCACCUGACCCAUGAUGGGAGGUUGGAACAACUAACUUACGAGCUCCACCGUGGUUCAUUCUAUUAAAGACAUGGUAACCGAACCGCCCAAUACCAUGGAGAAGAUGCUUUCUCACAAUCGAAAUCCAAAGAAACAUCCCCAAAUUGAUACCGACACCGUCUCUCUUACACCAGCUUCUAGUAUUCUUCACCCCCUUCAUUCACCCGUCAUCCUCCGUCCUCCAUCAGUUCUUUUGCACAAAUCCCUUGGAUCUUUCAAUUUUCUCCAUAUCAAAGGUGAAAUUACCCCUAACGGUACCGACCCCCAUGGGUGGCUCACAAAGGCUGACCUUUACUUUCAAGUAAACCUCACUCCUGCACAAAAACUCAAAUCGGCUCAGAUGUGUAUGGAUGGUGUAGCCCUAAAUUGGUUCACCAUCUUAUUGAUCAAACACCCACACAUCGAUUGGUCACAAUUUUGAUCCAAAUUGAUGACUAGAUUUAGUGGUACUAAGUUCCAUAAUCCCCAUGAAGCAAUCAACUCACUAUCUGCAAUCGGAGGAGCAGACAAUCAGAAUGUUCUUGCCUGGCCUACAUAAUGACAUCCGAAACUGGGUAUGAACAUUGAAUCCUGAUACAUUUGAUCAGGCGAUGGAUUUUCUCGUCAUGUGUGCCUAGCCACCGCCUCACAAAUCGAUCAGUCCAACUCUCGGAGAAAAUGUCCACCCGGAUCCACUACAUAUUCCCACUCUAUAACUAAUUGGCGGAACCUAUUACUUAAUGACAAGGCUUAAUCUUAACCCAAUCUACUAAACUCAAAACCCAUUAGCUCAUCUAUCCUUUCGUCCACAUCACACCGUAAUCACCUUUCUCCCAUAACAUCGACACCCAAAUCGUUCCCACCAACACUCGCCACCUCACUAAAACAUAAUGGGAGGAUCGUUGCUGUCAGGGUCUGUGUUUCAACUCCAGACAAAUACACCAUCCCCAUUGUAGAAGAACUACUUGAUGAACUUCAAGGGUCCAUGUUCUUCUCUAAAAUCGAAUUGAAUUUGGGUUUUUACCAAGUUCGAGUCCGCAAAUCUGAUGUCGAGAAAACACCAUUUCACACUCAUGAUGGCCACUAUGCGUUUCUUGUUAUGCAGUUUGGCUUAACAAAUGCUCCGACUACCUUCCAAGCCCUUAUGAACGAUAUAUUAUGACCUUUACUUCGCAAGGGCAUCCUUAUCUUUUUUGAUGAAAUUCUAAUUUAUAGUCCUGAAUGGGCUCACCAUUUGAACUUACUCAACUCUACUCUUUUAUUACUUCAACAACAUGCCCUUGUCAUCAACAUGAAGAAACAUUGUUUUUGGAAUCAACACAGUUGAAUAUAUGGGAUACAUAAUAAGUAGCGAUGAGUAUCAAUGGAUCCAUCCAAAAUCCAUUCAAUUAUCGACUGACCGACUCCUCCCAAUGUAAAAAUGUUUGCAGGUUUCUAGGAAUUACUGGUUAUUACUCUAAGUUUAUCAAGUCCUAUGGUAAAAUAGCUCAACCCCUCACAUAAUGUAACACCCGAUCCUUGCAGGUAAAUUCCUUUCUUUAUAUUUAAGUCUUAAUGUUGGAUUUUGAUCUACGUAGGGCGUAGAUAGCCUUCUACGCGCUCCAUAAGAGGGUAUAUUGGAGACGGGGUUUUAAUGAUCUACGCAGGGUGUAGAUCUGAGUACGCAACAAAUACUUGAUCAGAGCCUAAACCCUAAUUUUAGGGUUUUGAGCCCUAUUCAAGGGCUCUAACUCUCUUGAAGCCCUUCCAUUAUCAACCUCCAUUCCCCCAAACGUUCCCUUUGAAACCCUAGUCCCAUUUUGGUGUAUUUGUGAGCUUAAGAGUGUAUUUGUGUGCUUUUUAAAGAAAGAAAAAGGUGGUGGAGUUGCUUAGAAGCUUGAAUCAACUUUGGAUCCAGAAGUUCCUUCCCCUCAUCCAUCUCUAAGAGGUACCUCUUCAGCCAAUGGGAAGGAGCAGGCCCGAUAGCAGCAUAUCACACACACUUUUGUUUCCGCGGUUAUGAGUUUAUUCUGGGAUUGACACUCUGAUAUUUUGGUUGUUUGAAUGUUGAGGAUUUCAAUUUGGUUUUCGAUGUGAAAUGGUUUAAUUAUACAAUGUUUUAAUUAUUAAUGAUUUCCAAGUAAUGUUUUUACAAACAAAAUUUUUGGACGUGAAAAAUUGGGUCGUUACAAGUUGGUAUCAGAGCCCUGGUUUGAGGGAUUCGGACACACCUUCGGGGGUGUCUGAACUCAAAUCGAGGGAUUAAAAGAUUUUCUAAAAGAAAAUGUUUUCUAAAAGUUAAGAAAAGACUUUUGAGAAAGAACGAGGGGACGUGCAGGUUGGGAUCAUCAGGCUGCUACAAGUGCGGCAAAUCUUGGCACUUUAGCAGGGAUUGCACUGCUCCGACAACGGUUAUUCAGACAUCGGAGUUGCUGUGUUUCCACUGCAACCAGAGGGGCCACAAGAAGGCCAAUUGCCCCCAGUUGACAGUUUCAGCGCCGGUGAAGGCGCCAGCUCCAGCGACCCUGCAGAUCACGGAUGGCCGACAGGGCAAGGCAGAGGCUCCGAUGGUGAGGAGCCGAGCAUUUCAGUUGACUACCGAGGAGGCACGCGCCGCACCCGAUGUGGUGACGGGUACCUCUUCAGCCAAGGGGAAGGAGCAGGCCCGUUAGCAGCAUAUCACACACACUUUUGUUUCCACAGUUAUGAGUUUAUUUUGGGAUUGACACUCUGAUAUUUUGGUUGUUUGAAUGUUGAGGAUUUCAAUUUGGUUUUCGAUGUGAAUGGUUUAAUUAUACAAUGUUUUAAUUAUUAA